rnacentral:rRNA from 1 species
AGGAUCAGUGGGGGCUGGCGGACGGCGGCCGGAUGCGUUCCUUCCCCAAACGGGGGGGUCCUCCGGUCGUACGAUAUCCGUCGUCCCCUACGCAUUUGUCUCUCGUCCGAAGGACGCCGCAGCCGGUUGGGUCGUUGCAAGCACGACGGCCUUAUAGGCGGACGCCGGCAGGUGGCCGGUGGGGGGGACUCGUCUCCCUCGCCGGUUGUUAGCCUGUCCGCCGGUGGCUCGUCACCCGACCGUGGAAUCAAGAGGCCCGUUCAGCGGGCCUCAAACGCCUCCACCUACUGGUUGUGGUCAGCAACCCAGGGGCGAUCCGCCGCUUGUCACACGUCUCUCGGCGUGGACUCGCGAACGGAGGAACCCUGGUGGGGUUGCCAAGCCGUGGGGGGGCAUGGAGGCUAGCGGCGAGUAGGUCGGUCACCCACCCGACCCGUCUUGAAACACGGACCAAGGAGUCUAACAUGUGCGCGAGUCAAUGGGACUUGAAUAGGCCCAGAGGCGCAAUGAAAGCAAAGGACGACCUUGUUCGUCUGAGUUGGGAUCCGGCCCCCCAUCAAAGGGGUCGGCGCACCAGCGACCCGUCCUAUCCGACACGUUCGGUUGGGCGGUGUGUGAGCGCACACGUUGGGACCCGAAAGAUGGUGAACUAUGCCCGGGCAGGACGAAGUCAGAGGAAACUCUGGUGGAGGUCCGCAGCGGUCGAC